GAUUCCCAAAGCUAAGCAAAGUCUGCUGGAGCAGUGGGCUAAAAUCCCAAACUCUGCCACUUAGCCAUUUAGCUGGCGCGGCUCACCUACCGUAGGAGUCGCCUGGGUCCAGGAGGGAGUCGGGCUCCAUGGCGUGUGGGCCCCUGGGCCGUGGCCCCACCUGAUUUAUGAACCGAGGCCGUCUCCAUGAGCGCCUGCGCUUCUCCUUUUGUAUUCCAUCUGGCGGCUUCUCCAACUAGAUGACUGGCCUGCCUGGAAACAUUAGAAGGGACCGAGGCGGCGAGAUGUCUAAAAUAGGAAGACGCUGAGGACGGCUGGCCUGGCUGCCCGCGUUGCUGGCUGCAGGGAUCUGGUCCGGCUGUGCAGAUGGAAAAGCUAGAAGACAAGAUCUCAUGUGGCUCCCCAGCUGAUGAAGAACUCACCGGGACGCCGAGGGUAGCCUUGAUUGUCUCCUCUUCUGGCUUCCACCCCUUGACUACUGGAUGUACAGGCUCGUGGUACCACGAUGGUUUUCACCUCAGCGCCAGGCACUGAACCCAGGAUUGCAUGCAUUCUAGGUGAACGCUUGCUGCCUGAGCUACAUCCCCAACACUGUGAGGAAUAUCUUCAUGUAUCCCACUCGUAUCCAUCUGAUGACUUCUGUAGGUUAAACUGUAAAACCACAGUUGGUGGAGCAGAAAGGCCUGCAGGCUCAACAUUCUACAAGUGCUGACUUUGGCCUAGCCCUGGUAUGAGGCCUGGUGUAGCCAGCAUUCCCACUGUUGUGGGUUUAUAAUCAAGCUGAGGGGAAACACACUCUUUCAUCAAAGAUAGAUGCUAUUGAGAAAGCAAAUAGAGGCCCAGAGGAAUAGGAUCUGAACAAUGGAUUGAUGGGUCCUGCUGUGCAAAGUCCAAGGGGCCAUCAAGCAUGAGUGGGCAGAGCCACCGCAAAGGCUGAUGGGUAGAAGGUUCAAGAUGAUGGCCAGGGUGGGUGGACAAGUGAGAGGAUGGCUCAGGAGAAGAGAGGAAGAUCAGAAGCAGCAUCAUGGAGAGCUCUAUGGGCCGGGAAGUAUGGAGCCCAUGGCAAGGGGUGGGUCCAAGAGGCUCCUUGGCUGCUGCCACAAGUGAACUCAGAGAGGCCACCUAGGACAUUGCUAUCACUGAAGGUAGUGCUGGGCAGUCACGCCGAAGCCAGUCAGGAAAACCCACAAGAAGCCUGCUAUGUUUCCAGAUGAGCAACAGUAGCCGUCUGUGCGAUUCAGCAAAUGCUGCCUGAAGACUAUGCCAAAGGAAUGACCCAGGGAUGAGUCAGCCAGAGUACUAGCCAUGGGCAUCACCAGCCAUAGGAGAGAGGCUCUCAAAGUGUUACCAGGUAGGGAGUCUAUCCACCUUUGCGAGAGACUUAAAAUGCUCUUUCACUGUGGACCUUUGGAAGGCUAGACACACGGAAGAAAAAAAAAAGUUCCGAGUGCCAGACCACAUAGCUGACCCAUUGCAGGGCAGGCAAGUUACAUGCUGGAGGGGCCAUGCAGUAAAUAUUUCAGACUUUGUAACUGCUCAGUUCUGCAUUUGUAACUGGAGAACAACUUUGGGCAGCUCCCCAAUGAGUGGAUGUGACUGUGGAUCAAUCAAACAGAACUCUUGGAGGCAGGAUGGCUCAGUAGUUAAGAGCAUUUGAUGUGAAAUUACGAGCAGUAGAUCCCAGCACCGUCUGUGGGGCAAGUGGACCAUGCCAGCAGACAGAAGAACUAGUAAGGUUGAGCAGGUUUAAAACCCCAGAGAAUCUUAGCAUUGAGAACAGCAGGCUUGGAAACAGCUUCCUGCCAAGCUCUUCCUGUCCUGGAACAGGUAAGCGUGACACCCCAUUGAGAGGACCUCAAUCACAUAGGGACCACACCUGAAGUCCUUCCCCACACAAAUAGAGCAUGCCUAACAUCCCAGACUGAGCCAGCGCGAAGCAUCUAACUCUGGACCCCUCCUUAUGCCUGGAAUGUAUAUGUUUAUUCCUAUCCACAUGGAUAAAGUACACAAGUUAUUUCACUG
ensembl:processed_transcript Gm13446 predicted gene 13446